UAUCCUGUUUAUGAUAUUGAACUCUAAUUUGGAGAGAUAUCAUUGAGAGAAACUGGAUAAAAGGUUGAUGGAAUCUCUUUGUAUUAGUUCUUAAAACUGGAUGUGAAUCUACAAUUAUCAAAAAAAUGAAAAAAGAUUAAUUUUAACAGGUUACAAGAAGGGAGCAAAAUCAAGGAAGCCAGUAUGUCAGUUUGUCAGUUACGGCGUGAGCCUUAGAACCCUGACAUCCUACUCGUCAGUGGUCCUGACUGCUCAGGAGUCCUCAGGCUUCGAGGAUUUGAGCACAGUGCUCUGCCAACUGCUGUAGAUAUGACCAAUUUGGGUGCUAAGAAUUGAAGACAAAAGGAUGUUCACAUCAAUCAAAAACCACUCCAAGCUUUUAGGUGGUUAUUCAAGCCCUCAUGGCACAAGAUAGAAGCAUCAGCAGCCAGCUGUCACUGAUGUAUGUGGACGCGUGUAUCAGUUGUACCUUCCUCCUAACUGGGCAUCUGAUGGACCCUGCUCUUAUAUGAGGAUGGGAAGUGGAUCUCAGAGAAGAGAGACCAUAUGAAGCUGACCGUGUCCCUUCAUAGCUAACCCACGUUAACACAGGCCCCGCUGUGGGUCUUGCCGGAAGGUGGCCAGGAAGUCCACCGUGGGCCAGCCCAAGACAAAGGACCUUCCCGCACAGGUGUGGCCUUUCCCUGCUUUGUCCACACGGCCGGCUGUCCACAAGUUGCUCUGCGGUAUUUCACUUUUUAUCCUAAAGGUUUCUUUAUACCUAAAAAGACAAUCAAGGGAGAUCUCUGUUAGUUUCCUGAGCGCGGGAGCAGCUGUGCUCACGGUGAGAAUCCUGCUGUCCCUGCUGGGCGCAGCUCGCCUCAGUCAUUGCUGUCACCGUGGUGCAGACUGACUUUUACAAUGUGUGUGUGACUGAGAAUGAGAUGUGACAGGGAAGAAAUGAGUUGUUACUGCAGGAGGCUAUUUAUUUGUAGCAGGUGUUUCUUUCUCAAAAAAAAAAAUAAUAAUAACACGAUGUCAUAUUAACGGUGGUCAUAAUCGUGCCCAAGUGUUUACUAUGGGAAUUACUAUAGCUAAUUGCCUAAAAAUUGUGGUGAAAUCUUAUACAAAGUGGCAGCAUUCACUACAGACAGCUGCCUUCUCAAAAAAAAAAAAAAAUCUGUUUUCUCCGUUUCAAAGGUCUUGGGCUUAUGAACCAAGUUCAAAUGCCCCAGAUCACUGACACUUUCUAAUAGUCUCAGUGGAUGUAAAACGUUUGUAAGACAAUCGUUCAGAAAUUGAGUCUUAAACAAGGACAUUAUGAAACUGGUAUAAUUUGUAUUACAUCAGAAAACCCUCCAGUGUAUGCAAAGAACAAUCUCAAAGGCAGUAUGCAAAAAAUGAGAAAUGUUGCACAUCUUUCAUGAUAGUGGGUCAGUGAAAAUAAAAGUUCAGUUCUUGCAGAGGUGCAAUUGUCCAGCAGAAAGGGAACAACUGUCUUGACAGAAAAUGUUUUUAGCAGAGUACUGCAGGUUCUAUAAAACCCUUUAAGAUGUUAGCAGUAUCCGGGACAAUAAAUGGCUUCUGGUAAGAGAACAGAGGUCUCCUCCCCCUAAAUACUAUCACAGUUACAAAGGGUAAUAGAAAACGAAGUGAAGGAAAAUAGGUUCCCCUUAUAAAUGCAAUGUGCGUGGUCUGCGAGGGCCUAGGAAACAGAGCAGAGCGUGGUUGUCGGUUGUUUAUGGCUCUGGCUGAGCACUGUUGGGUACAAGGAAAUGCGGCAGGAAGAGCACAGCCCUGGGACAAAGGAUGGCUGGACUCGAGUCCUUCCCCACAGUGUCCCAGUGUACGGCCUUGGGCCACUCACUGAGCCUUCCUCAGCCUCCGUUGUCAUGUCUAAAAGCUGAAAAAGAUAAUAAUACUUGCCUUGGAGGGCAGUUAGAGAAAUCUCAUGAGACAUCUGUGAUGUUUCUAGUAUGGUCUGAGAACCCCUCCAACAAAUUUUAGCUUCCUCUAUGUACUUAGCUUGGUUAAAUAAAGGGAACAGUUGCUAGUCCAAAUUUCUUUUUAAAUAAUGAUCUGUCCUCCAUCAGUGGCUCUUUUGGGACACUUCACAUGGCCCUCAGGCCAAGGCCCCGAGAGCCAUGCUCUCUCUGUCCCCUUGAUGACACCGGCACCUCUCUAGCUACAUUUGUGGGCGAUUUCUCUUACCCAGGGCAGGUUUUAUUAUCUUUGUCUCUGAUUUUUCUGACAGCUGGACUU